CAGUAGCCACGGUAAUACAGAGGAUGCAAGCGUUAUCCGGAAUGAUUGGGCGUAAAGCGUCUGUAGGUGGCUUUUCAAGUCCGCCGUCAAAUCCCAGGGCUCAACCCUGGACAGGCGGUGGAAACUACCAAGCUGGAGUACGGUAGGGGCGGAGGGAAUUUCCGGUGGAGCGGUGAAAUGCAUUGAGAUCGGAAAGAACACCAACGGCGAAAGCACUCUGCAGGGCCGACACUGACACUAAGAGACGAAAGCUAGGGGAGCAAAUGGGAUUAGAUACCCCCGUAGUCCCUGUCUCUUAUAC
rnacentral:rRNA from 1 species